rnacentral:sRNA from 1 species
UUUAAACACAAAAAACCCUUAAAAAACACUAUUAGGGUGUAUCGGUUUCUGAGUUUACUAUGUCUACUCAUAUUUCCCCCAUUCACAAAAUCGUAAAAAACAUCGACGAUGCCAAAGAAGAACCCAAACUUUGACUCGCCAGCAAAGGAGACGCAGAAUUUACUUCUCCUUCAUCUACACAUUUUGUCUACGUCGCCGGAGCUUCAUCUGCCCAAUUUGUCGCCAUCGCUGCCGCUUCAUCUGCACAAUCCAUCGCCGUCGUUUCAUUUGCACAAUCUGUAGCCACAAACGCGCGAUUUCUGGCGCCGCAGAUAUAGGGGAAUAGCCGUACUCUCAAUUCAUCUGCACAAUUCGUCGCCGUAGUUUUAUCCACACAAUUCGUCGCCGUCGUUUCAUUUGUACAAUAUGUACCCACAGACGCACGAUUUCUGCCGCCGCAGAUAUAGAGGAGUAGCCGUACUCUCAAUUCAGACAUCAAGGUGAGUGGUCUCUUCUUAAUUUCUAUUUUUCUGUUGCAUGUCCUCCUCGUCAAUAGUAUUUGUGGCCAAAUUCAUCGGAUUAUUCAUUAAUCCAUUAACAAUUGGGUUAAAAUU